AGAGCGUCUGUGGAGAUUAUCGUUAGAUUUUGGCUUGGUUCGACAAUUUUGACUAAAGAAUCUAAGAUGUAUGUAUGUGGGUUCAGGUGGUGUUUGGUUGUGUGGGUUAUUUACAUGGUGACCGUUGAAAUUAAAACACAAAACAUAUAAAUAUGCAUAUAUGUAGUUAUCAAAUAAAACAAUUACCGCCGUACGAUUGUGAUUUAAUAUUUUUAGUGAUGCGAUAUGAACCGAUAAGGAUUAUUGAGUGGGUGGUAGAGAAGAGAAACACAAAAGAAAAGAAAAAAAUAAAAGUGUGUUUUAGUUAUUAACAUUAACAAGUUCAAAUGGAAAAUAGAGUGUGGUGAGGAACAGGACAAAUAACAGUGAGGAUGAGAAGAAUUUACAUUUGCUAUAUUGUAGGAGAAUUAAACACAUCAUAAAUCAUGUGUGCAAGCCAUGUACUCUACCUGUUUCACGUAUGUGCAGGCGUGCCAAUCCGGACAACAGCUCCAGAGCCGCUAGUGAAACAUUUAAAUCCGUUUUCCACGAGGAAAUGAGGCGGUGGCAAACCAAAUAAGUAGCCCGUACAAACAAAGCGUGUGCGUUAUC